rnacentral:rRNA from 1 species
UACGGAGAUGGCAAGCGUUACUCGGAUUCAUUGGGUGUAAAGGGCAGGUAGGUGUCCUACUAAGUAAGAUGUGAAAUCCUAUGGCUCAAUCAUAGAACUGCAUCUUAAACUGGUAGGAUUGAGUGCGAAAGAGGAAAGCGGAACUCUCGGUGUAAGGGUGAAAUCUGUAGAGAUCGAGAGGAACACCAGCAGCGAAGGCGGCUUUCUGGUUCGCAACUGACACUGAGCUGCGAAAGCUAGGGGAG